CAAGAUACAACGUGAAUUCUAGAAGCAAGCACGUGGCAGAGAUUGGCACGCGUCCAGAAUCAAGCGUCCAGAACUGCGCAGCUGUGUGGAUGAAGCAACGAAAUAGACAGAGAUAACUGAUCUGGUGAGUAACAUGGAAUUCAUAAAUGAUAUUGCAGAGAAAAGUAAAUUGCAGUUUGCAUUUAAUAGCAGCUAUUCAGAUGCUGUAUUGUGGCAAUCUUUAUACACACAAUGUGAAAUUGCCAAUAGUGAAAUUGACAAGAAAUUGUUUGUUAAUAAGAAAAAAAAAAAGAUCAGAAAUGUUAUGAAACUAGUCUGUACUUACAAAGCAUUGAUUUGUAAACAAGAUGCAGGUCAAGACAAUUUAGAAUUAGCAGAUAAAGAAAAAGAUUUGUAUGGGUUAACAGAAGACAAAUCAGAUUUAAAUGAACAGUGUAACAAAGUAACAGAGAGCACAUGCUGUAAACAGUUAGAAACAGUCUGUGAACUAGAGGGUAGAGUUGAAUUAAGAAAUGAUCUUAUUUGACAUCUUAGAAAUGAAGUAAAGCUAGUGUGUGUUAAUACAAGAAAAAUACAGGCACAGAAUCUAAUCCCAGAACCAAUUGAUACUGAAAAUGUAACCUCACAGAGUGAUUUGCAGAAAUGUAAAUUUCAAGACAGAGCUGCAAAACUUAAUUUGAAAAUCCAUGAACAAUUAAUGAAAAUUGUGAAAUGUAUUCCAGUUUAUGACCCGUCAAUGGAUGCAUUUACUAAUGCUCAAAUGUUUGAGUCAAAUUUAGACAAAUAUAGCCUAAAUGACGAACAAAGGAAUAGACUAUUUCAAAUAUGGCUGCCGACUCAAAUGGCAUGUAGUUUUCUUGUAAAAUUUGAAAGUGCAUAUAGACUUGUUGCUAAUUUUUCUGAGGAUCAGUUAAUUAAUGAAUUUGUGAAAAAAUUUCAAGAUCUAGAUCCAACUGCAAUUGUGUUAGCUAGAGAAAAAAGCACUUUGACAGAAGUAGCUUUGUUCUUGGAUAACUUAAGGAGGGAAACCAAUAAUGAAGGGGUUAAAAUGACUUGUGGAUUUAGGCAGAGGAAGAAGUGCAGAUUUUACAGCCCUCCUCCUUCUUCUUCUUCUAGGACAGAGUGUAGAGUGAUACAGACAGCUGAGCCCCUCCCAAUUUGUUCAAAUCAAAGGCAGAAUAUAACUCCUAAAGUUAUUUGUUUUUGGUGCAAUAAACAACAUUAUUUAAGAUCUUGCAGAUAUUUUAUCCGAGAUAUCAAAUCAAAAGCAAAUGAAAAAUUAAAUAUGUUGAUUGAAAAUUUUGAUAGAGAAAAUACAUGUGGAGAUAAAUCAAUAAAGGCCUUUCCUUGCAAACUGAUAGUCAGACAAAUAAAAGCAAUUUUAGCUAAAUCGAAAUUAAGAGACAGACAAGCAAUGCAGUGUAACACAGAAAGUUAUAAGAAUCAGAUAACUUCAAGAGAUAUGAUCAGUUUAGGGAAUGAGCAUGGAUAUGUCUGCCAACAGAUGUGCACAGGCUGAUUCCAGAAUUAAAAACAGCACAAGAAUAGAGAUCUAUGUUAGUUUGUUGUUUUAAUGAAUUGUUAGUCUGAACUGUUUUUUCAUUGUUUUAUGUGUGUUAUAAGAAAGUAUUAGGUUAAUUAAUGGAAAUAAAAAUUUACAUCAAGUUUGCAAAUAUGACAGAAUGAAAUACACUAAUGUAGCAGUUAGGAACAUGCAAUGUUAUAUUGGGUGUAUGCGAUUAUACAGUAACUCCAAUCAUUUUACAGAAGGAAAAAACAAUGUUGUUACUUCUGAGGUUGAUUUAAAAUCUUUGAUUUAAUUCAUGAGAAUGAGAUUUUAAUGUCAUGACUGAUAUUUUGCAAAGCCUGGACAUACAUAUAUUUUGACUACAUAGAAGACACAAGUUUUGAUAGAAUAAAACCUAGAUUUACAAAUACAUUUGAUGAAGGAAACAAUAUAUGUUUUUGUAGUUUGUUUCAUGUGACAAAAUGGUGCCAGUGUUAAGACAAAAUGGCUAGUAUAGCUAAAGUAUAGUGGAAAACAAUAUUUUGUUGUAACAUCUGAUAUGUGAUUAGGUUAUACCUCCAGAUUAUUAAACAGUUUAAAAGGGGGGUAUGAUUAAUAAGGUAUGAGUAAUAAAAAGUUUGGAAAAUUAAAAUGUUCAGAAAGAUUAUACAUCACAUGGCAUAAAUGUAAUGACCACUAGAUGGUAGAUCUCAUGAGAAGAAAUUAGUAUGUUUUGUCUAGUCAAUAUAAUUCAAUGUUAAACUGUGUAAUAAUAAUGAGAUAUAAACAUUGUAAGCCAUUGUAUUGAUGCUGAACAUGUUAUUUGUUUUAAUGUAGGUAAAGCGUGACAGAUCCUUGUGGCAAUAAAUCAGGAAAGCAUUCCUUCAGACAACUGGACAUCGACUGUUGGAAAGAGACUUUUCAUCUGAUCUGCAAACUGUGAUGGAAGAUUCUACAGAGUUCAUUCGAUACAGAAGAUUAACAGACUUACAAAGAAAUAAAAGAUUGACACUAACAUAAAUAUUAAUUUCUAAAUAUUAACGAAGAAAACAGACAAUGAAAAGUUAUUUAACAGUUAUAAGUAUUAAUACCAAAAGAGAGUACUUAUAACAAUAUAACACAUGGAGUACAAUUAUGAUAGGAUAGUAUUAUGAAAAUAACUAUUACAUUAUUACCUAUACAUAGAAUGAGAAGUAUCAGACGUAGAUAAAAUAUGAAGUUGAUAAAAUUACUUAAUUCUACAAAGAUUGAGUUCAAUAGGAUUUCAUAGAUAAAUUAUAAUAAUUAAUUUGUUUAUAUCGAGGUGAAGUAAAACAAACAAUGGUAACAUAAGGAAGAAAACUAGGGAAGGAUAAUUUAUAUUGAUUUAUAUUAAGUAAUUAUAUACAUUAAGAAUGCCUUGGAUAUAAGAGUUCAGAGAUCCAAGAGGAAUUGAAUUGAAUUGAAUGAGUAUAGUACACAAUUAUAUUUGACCAAAGUCUAUAAAGGUAUGGGCUAGGGAGAAUAGGUUUCUGGAUAUGAUGGUAUCCAAUGAAUACGUUGUUAAGUUGUUUUAUGAUUUCCCUGAGUUUGUUAGACACAGACUAGGAAUAAGAGUUUCUGGGCAGUAUGACC